AUUGAACGCUGGCGGCAGGCCUAACACAUGCAAGUCGAGCGGAUGAAGGGAGCUUGCUCCUGGAUUCAGCGGCGGACGGGUGAGUAAUGCCUAGGAAUCUGCCUGGUAGUGGGGGAUAACGUCCGGAAGCGGGCGCUAAUACCGCAUACGUCCUGAGGGAGAAAGUGGGGGAUCUUCGGACCUCACGCUAUCAGAUGAGCCUAGGUCGGAUUAGCUAGUUGGUGGGGUAAAGGCCUACCAAGGCGACGAUCCGUAACUGGUCUGAGAGGAUGAUCAGUCACACUGGAACUGAGACACGGUCCAGACUCCUACGGGAGGCAGCAGUGGGGAAUAUUGGGCAAUGGGCGAAAGCCUGAUCCAGCCAUGCCGCGUGUGUGAAGAAGGUCUUCGGAUUGUAAAGCACUUUGAGUUGGGAGGAAGGGCAGUAAGUUAAUACCUUGCUGUUUCGACGUUACCAACAGAAUAAGCACCGGCUAACUUCGUG
rnacentral:rRNA from 1 species